rnacentral:rRNA from 1 species
ACCAGUUGGAAACGACUGUUAAUACCGCAUAAUGUCUACGGACCAAAGUGUGGGACCUUCGGGCCACAUGCUAUCGGAUGCGCCUACGUGGGAUUAGCUAGUUGGUGAGGUAAUGGCUCACCAAGGCGACGAUCUCUAGCUGGUUUGAGAGGAUGAUCAGCCACACUGGAACUGAGACACGGUCCAGACUCCUACGGGAGGCAGCAGUGGGGAAUAUUGGACAAUGGGCGCAAGCCUGAUCCAGCCAUGCCGCGUGUGUGAAGAAGGCCUUCGGGUUGUAAAGCACUUUCAGCGAGGAGGAAGGGUUGGUAGUUAAUAGCUGCCAAUUUUGACGUUACUCGCAGAAGAAGCACCGGCUAACUCUGUGCCAGCAGCCGCGGUAAUACAGAGGGUGCAAGCGUUAAUCGGAAUUACUGGGCGUAAAGCGCACGUAGGCGGUUGGUUAAGUUGGAUGUGAAAGCCCCGGGCUCAACCUGGGA